rnacentral:rRNA from 1 species
UACGUAGGGCGCAAGCGUUGUCCGGAUUCACUGGGUGUAAAGGGUGCGCAGGCGGACUGGCAAGUCAGGGGUGAAAUCUCACAGCUCAACUGUGAAACUGCCUUUGAUACUGGCUGUCUUGAGUAUGGGAGAGGUUAGCGGAACUCCGAGUGUAGAGGUGAAAUUCGUAGAUAUUCGGAAGAACACCAGUGGCGAAGGCGGCUAACCUGGCCCAUUACUGACGCUGAGGCUCGAAAGCGUGGGGGAGCAAACAGG